rnacentral:rRNA from 1 species
UACGUAGGGUGCAAGCGUUGUCCGGAAUUAUUGGGCGUAAAGAGCUCGUAGGCGGUUUGUCGCGUCUGCUGUGAAAACCCGAGGCUCAACCUCGGGCCUGCAGUGGGUACGGGCAGACUAGAGUGCGGUAGGGGAGAUUGGAAUUCCUGGUGUAGCGGUGGAAUGCGCAGAUAUCAGGAGGAACACCGAUGGCGAAGGCGGCUCACUGGCCCGGUACUGACGCUGAGGUGCGAAAGCGUGGGGAGCAAACAGG